rnacentral:rRNA from 1 species
AGCAGCCGCGGUAAUUCCAGCUCCAAUAGCGUAUAUUAAAGUUGUUGCAGUUAAAAAGCUCGUAGUUGAACCUUGGGCCUGGCUGGCAGGUCCGCCUCACCGCGUGUACUUGACCGGCCGGGCCUUUCCUUCUGGAGAACCUCAUGCCCUUCACUGGGUGUGCUGGGGAACCAGGACUUUUACUUUGAAAAAAUUAGAGUGUUCAAAGCAGGCCUUUGCUCGAAUACGUUAGCAUGGAAUAAUAGAAUAGGACGUGCGGUCCUAUUUUGUUGGUUUCUAGGACCGCCGUAAUGAUUAAUAGGGACAGUCGGGGGCAUCAGUAUUCAAUUGUCAGAGGUGAAAUUCUUGGAUUUAUUGAAGACUAACUACUGCGAAAGCAUUUGCCAAGGAUGUUUUCAUUAAUCAGUGAACGAAAGUUAGGGGAUCGAAGACGAUCAGAUACCGUCGUAGUCUUAACCAUAAACUAUGCCGACUAGGGAUCGGAUGAUGUUAAUUUUAUAAUGACUCA